CGAACAAUACUCUCAAAGUUUGACCUCAAAUCAGGUAGGAUUACCCGCUGAACUUAAGCAUAUCAAUAAGCGGAGGAAAAGAAACCAACCGGGAUUGCCUUAGUAACGGCGAGUGAAGCGGCAAAAGCUCAAAUUUGAAAUCUGGUACCUUUGGUGCCCGAGUUGUAAUUUGUAGAAGGCAACUUUGGGGCUGGUCCUUGUCUAUGUUCCUUGGAACAGGACGUCAUAGAGGGUGAGAAUCCCGUGUGGCGAGGAAUCCAGUCCUUUGUAAAGUGCUUUCGAAGAGUCGAGUUGUUUGGGAAUGCAGCUCUAAGUGGGUGGUAAAUUCCAUCUAAAGCUAAAUAUUGGCGAGAGACCGAUAGCGAACAAGUACAGUGAUGGAAAGAUGAAAAGAACUUUGAAAAGAGAGUGAAAAAGUACGUGAAAUUGUUGAAAGGGAAGGGCAUUUGAUCAGACAUGGUGUUUUGCGCCCCUUACCUCUCGUGGGUGAGGGAAUCUCGCAGUUCACUGGGCCAACAUCAGUUUUGGUGGCAGGAUAAAUCUAUAGGAACGUAACUUGCUUCGGGAAGUAUUAUAGCCUAUGGGAAUACUGCCAACCGGGACUGAGGACUGCGACUUUGUCAACGAUGUGCG
rnacentral:rRNA from 1 species